AUCUAGCUGACGAGUCGGAAAUAAGAUGAAACACAUGUCCAGGAU
rnacentral:hammerhead_ribozyme from 1 species